rnacentral:lncRNA from 1 species
UUGAUGUCAGUACUCUAGGGGAAGCUAAGAUGGAGCGCAAGCACACUGACAUCUAUAGUGAAAAAUCGCUAAUGAGAAUGGGGUUUGUUAAGGCAAAUAACAAGUGGGUUCAUAAAGAAAAAAAAGAGAAGAAGGAGCAUGAGAAGAGGCACAAAGGCUAGUAGAAUCAAGGCAGGCUAGUGCAUGACAUUCUCAGAGGAUACCUAGCACUAG